rnacentral:rRNA from 1 species
CUUUUCAUGUUUCAGUAGGUGACCUGCGGAAGGAUCAUUAUUGAA